rnacentral:misc_RNA from 1 species
AAGACUAUAGACCUGCGGAGUACCUGCGGAGGGAUCAUUAAAAGUGCGGACUCUUACCGUCCGGCCUCACUUUUAAACCCUUGUGAACUAGUCCCCGUUGCUUCGGCGGGCCAGCACCUCUUACGGUGCCCGGCUGUUCAUCGUCCUGGUGGACGGCUGGAGAGCGCGCCAGAAGACCACUUUAACUCGAAGUUUUGGUGCCUGUCUGAAAAACACAUAAACGUUAAAACUUUUAACAAU